UACGAAGGGGCUAGCGUUGCUCGGAAUCACUGGGCGUAAAGGGUGCGUAGGCGGGUCUUUAAGUCAGGGGUGAAUCCUGGAGCUCAACUCCAGAACUGCCUUGAUACUGAGGAUCUUGAGUACGGGAGAGGUGAGUGGAACUGCGAGUGUAGAGGUGAAAUUCGUAGAUAUUCGCAAGAACACCAGUGGCGAAGGCGGCUCACUGGCCCGUAACUGACGCUGACGGCACGAAAGCGUGGGGAGCAAACAGGAU
rnacentral:rRNA from 1 species